rnacentral:rRNA from 1 species
AGCAGCCGCGGUAAUUCCAGCUCCAAUAGCGUAUAUUAAAGUUGUUGCAGUUAAAAAGCUCGUAGUUGAAUUUCGGGAUCAGUAGGUCGGUCGUGCCACUGGUAUGAACUGGUCUCACUGGUUCCUCCCUCUUGACGAACUGCAAUGCUAUUAAUUUAGUGUAGUAGGAAAUCAGGACUGUUACUUUGAAAAAAUUAGAGUGUUUAAAGCAGGCUUUGGCUUGAAUACAUUAGCAUGGAAUAAUGAAAUAGGACGUUCGAUCCUAUUUUGUUGGCUUCUAGGAUUGACGUAAUGAUUAAUAGGGACAGUUGGGGGCAUUAGUAUUCAAUUGUCAGAGGUGAAAUUCUUGGAUUUAUUGAAGACUAACUACUGCGAAAGCAUUUGCCAAGGAUGUUUUCAUUAAUCAAGAACGAAAGUUAGGGGAUCGAAGACGAUCAGAUACCGUCGUAGUCUUAACCAUAAACUAUGCCGACUAGGGAUCGGAUGAUGUUAAUUUUUAAUGA